ACGUAAGAGGGUUUGUCCAGCAAUGCUCCUCAUUGGGAAGAUAAACUACCUUCAUUCACCUCAGUCUCCAAAAGUCUCCAAUAAUACCAGAAAAAC